ensembl:snRNA U6 U6 spliceosomal RNA
GUGCUCGCUUUGGCAGCAUAUAUACUAAAACUGGAAUGAUACAGAGAAGAUUAGUGUGGCCCCUGCACAAGGAUGUCGUGCAAAUUUGUGAAGUGUUCCAUACAAAA